rnacentral:rRNA from 1 species
GAGUUUGAUCCUGGCUCAGGAUUAACGCUGGCGGUAUGCCUAACACAUGCAAGUCGAACGGAAUACUAAUUAAGAGAAUCUCACACUAGUGAGAGGUUCUCACGAGUAGUAUUUAGUGGCGGACGGGUGAGUAACACGUUGGAACCUGCCCCGAAGUGGGGAAUAACUGCUCGAAAGAGUAGCUAAUACCCCAUAGUAUCCGGUUUAUCCGGAUUAAAGAUUUAUCGCUUCGGGAGGGGCCUGCGUCUGAUUAGCUAGUUGGUGAGGUAAAAGCUCACCAAGGCGACGAUCAGUAGCUGGUUCGAGAGGAUGACCAGCCACACUGGGGCUGAGAUACGGCUCAGACUCCUACGGGAGGCAGCAGUGAGGAAUCUUCCACAAUGGACGAAAGUCUGAUGGAGCAAUACCGCGUGCAGGAAGACGCUUUCGGAGUGUAAACUGCUUUUGUCGUCGAAGAUUAUAACUGUAGACGAAGAAUAAGGACCGGCUAACUACGUG